CAGUCGCCGCGGUAAAACGAAGGGGGCUAGCGUUGUUCGGAAUUACUGGGCGUAAAGCGCACGUAGGCGGACAUUUAAGUCAGGGGUGAAAUCCCGGGGCUCAACCCCGGAACUGCCUUUGAUACUGGGUGUCUAGAGUAUGGAAGAGGUGAGUGGAAUUCCGAGUGUAGAGGUGAAAUUCGUAGAUAUUCGGAGGAACACCAGUGGCGAAGGCGGCUCACUGGUCCAUUACUGACGCUGAGGUGCGAAAGCGUGGGGAGCAAACAGGAUUAGAUACCCGCGUAGUCCCUGUAUCUUAUAC
rnacentral:rRNA from 1 species